rnacentral:rRNA from 1 species
UGGGGAAUUUUCCGCAAUGGGCGAAAGCCUGACGGAGUGACGCCGCGUGGGGGACGAAGGCCUUCGGGUCGUAAACCCCUGUCAGAGGGAAAGAAGGGUCGCCGACCUAACACGUCGGUGAUCUGACGGUACCUUCAGAGGAAGCCCCGGCCAACUCUGUGCCAGCAGCCGCGGUAAGACAGAGGGGGCAAGCGUUGCUCGGAAUCACUGGGCGUAAAGGGCGCGUAGGCGGGAUGGCAAGUCAGUCGUGAAAUCUCUCGGCUCAACCGAGAAACGUCGGCUGAUACUGCCGUUCUUGAGGGAUGCAGAGGAGACUGGAAUUCCCGGUGUAGCGGUGAAAUGUGUAGAGAUCGGGAGGAACACCGGUGGCGAAGGCGGGUCUCUGGGCAUUUCCUGACGCUGAGGCGCGAAAGCGUGGGGAGCAAACGGGAUUAGAUACCCCGGUAGUCCACGCUGUAAACGAUGACGACUAGGUGUGGGGUGGGUUAGUCCAUUCCGUGCCGCAGCUAACGCAUUAAGUCGUCCGCCUGGGGAGUACGGCCGCAAGGUUGA